rnacentral:antisense_RNA from 1 species
GGGCGCUUAGACAUACCCAUGUCGAAGCGUUAGCCAAAACAUGGAUAUGAAAAAGCCCCGAAUGAACUAUAAAUUCAAACGAGGCCUUUACCAUGUAUAAGCAACUUGAUAAUAGCCUCUUACUUCAUAGGAGGCAAGUUAUG